AGGUGCGUGGUCCACCAUCGGUGACCUCACCGCCUCGGUUCGCCCUCAGCCGCCCUGAUUGGCCAUCUGCAAGCUUCCCUUCUCCGUGGAGAGCAGGAAGACAGUCAUGGGACCUCAGGGAGCCAGGAGACAGCAGGUGACUGGCCUGUGGGUGUCACUCAUCAAGUAGUGAUCUGUGUACAGAUGGCAGAACCUGGAAUCCUCCAACUGCCUGAGUGCAACACUGUCCCUGGUGAGCAUGCCUGGGUUUUGUGUUACAGGCUUUCUUGGCAUUUGGGGAUGUCACUGUGGAUUUCACCCAGAAGGAAUGGAGGCUGCUGAGCCCUGCUCAGAGGGCCCUGUACAGGGAGGUGACACUGGAGAACUACAGCCACCUGGUCUCACUAGGAAUUCUCCAUUCUAAACCAGAACUCAUCAGGCGGCUAGAGCAAGGGGAAGCGCCCUGGGGAGAAGAGAGAAGACGCCGGCCAGGCCCCUGUGCAGGAAUAUAUGCAGAACAUGUCCUGCGGCCCAAGAAUCUUGGACUUGCACAUCAGAGGCAACAGCAACUACAAUUUUCUGAUCAAAGCUUC
rnacentral:sRNA from 1 species